rnacentral:tRNA from 1 species
GGAUUGUGGCUCAGUGGUAGAGUGCUUGCCUAGCAUGUGUGAGGCACCGAGUUCAAUUCUCAGCGCCA